rnacentral:rRNA from 1 species
AUUGAACGCUGGCGGCAGGCCUAACACAUGCAAGUCGAGCGGCAGCGGGAAAGUAGCUUGCUACUUUUGCCGGCGAGCGGCGGACGGGUGAGUAAUGCCUGGGAAAUUGCCCAGUCGAGGGGGAUAACAGUUGGAAACGACUGCUAAUACCGCAUACGCCCUACGGGGGAAAGCAGGGGACCUUCGGGCCUUGCGCGAUUGGAUAUGCCCAGGUGGGAUUAGCUAGUUGGUGAGGUAAUGGCUCACCAAGGCGACGAUCCCUAGCUGGUCUGAGAGGAUGAUCAGCCACACUGGAACUGAGACGCGGUCCAGACUCCUACGGGAGGCAGCAGUGGGGAAUAUUGCACAAUGGGGGAAACCCUGAUGCAGCCAUGCCGCGUGUGUGAAGAAGGCCUUCGGGUUGUAAAGCACUUUCAGCGAGAAGGAAAGGUUGUUGGCUAAUAUCCAACAGCUGUGACGUUACUCGCAGAAGAAGCACCGGCUAACUCCGUGCCAGCCGCCGCAGUAAGAC